rnacentral:rRNA from 1 species
UACAGAGGUCUCAAGCGUUGUUCGGAUUCAUUGGGCGUAAAGGGUGUGUAGGUGGCGCGCUAAGUCGGGUGUGAAAUUUCGGAGCUUAACUCCGAAACUGCAUUCGAUACUGGCGUGCUUGAGGACUGGAGAGGAGACUGGAAUUCAUGGUGUAGCGGUGAAAUGCGUAGAUAUCGAGAGGAACACCUGCGGCGAAGGCGGGUUGCUGGGCCGACACUGACGCUGAUGCGCGAAAGCCGGGGAGCGAACGG